AUUGAACGCUGGCGGAAUGCUUUACACAUGCAAGUCGAACGGCAGCACGGACUUCGGUCUGGUGGCGAGUGGCGAACGGGUGAGUAAUACAUCGGAACGUGCCCAAUCGUGGGGGAUAACGUAGCGAGAGCUACGCUAAUACCGCACACGAUCUAAGGAUGAAAGCGGGGGAUCGCAAGACCUCGCGCGAAUGGAGCGGCCGAUGGCAGAUUAGGUAGUUGGUAGGGUAAAGGCCUACCAAGCCGACGAUCUGUAGCUGGUCUGAGAGGAUGAUCAGCCACACUGGGACUGAGACACGGCCCAGACUCCUACGGGAGGCAGCAGUGGGGAAUUUUGGACAAUGGACGCAAGUCUGAUCCAGCCAUUCCGCGUGCAGGAUGAAGGCCCUCGGGUUGUAAACUGCUUUUGUACAGAACGAAAAGGCUCUGGUUAAUACCUGGGGCUCAUGACGGUACUGUAAGAAUAAGCACCGGCUAACUACGUGCCAGCCGCCGCGGUAA
rnacentral:rRNA from 1 species